UGCGAUGUGAGUCUGCAAACAAAGCAAGUCACGAGUUCUCUUACCAUGAAGACCCCCCCCACCCCCGCCAGCCUCCCACCUACGGGCAUCAAAAAGUUAAAUCUUCAUUUUGGAGGUCAGACAAGUUUGUGGAACUUUGAGUUGUUACGUCAAAUCCACUUGAAACUCCCAGCGACCUCUGCAAUUAUCAUCACGAGAACUUCUCAUUCUGACACUUACGAGCUUCAUUUAAAAGCUUCAAUAUUAUCUUCUUUGACAACUUGAUCCUGGAAGAAUGAGAGAUGGGAAGAGAGAAAACUUCAGUUCAUCGGCUAUGCAGUCCAGUAACUGGCUAUUCUCAAACUGUAAUUUUGUGACCACAGGUAUAAAGUUUCGGAAAUUUUAUUACAUGCAAUUCACCUGCUUCACAAUGUUUUCUAAGGAUUUGAAAGUGUCUUGUCUAAACAUUGUAAUGUGAGCAUUUCAGU